UAAGGAAUAUUGGACAAUGGAGGCAACUCUGAUCCAGCCAUGCCGCGUGAAGGAAUAAGGCCCUAUGGGUUGUAAACUUCUUUUAGACGGGACAAAACCCCUUUACGUGUAAAGGGUUGAUGGUACUGUCAGAAUAAGCAUCGGCUAACUUCGUGCCAGCAGCCGCGGUAAUACGAAGGAUGCAAGCGUUAUCCGGAAUUAUUGGGUUUAAAGGGUGCGUAGGCGGACUAAUAAGUCAGUGGUGAAAGCCUGCAGCUUAACUGCAGAAUUGCCAUUGAUACUGUUAGUCUUGAGUACAGUUGAGGUAGGCGGAAUGUGUCAUGUAGCGGUGAAAUGCUUAGAUAUGACACAGAACACCUAUUGCGAAGGCAGCUUGCUAAGCUGUAACUGACGCUGAGGCACGAAAGCGUGGGGAGCAAACA
rnacentral:rRNA from 1 species